GUUUUUAUUGUAAAGGUAUGUUUAUGUUUGCGGAAUUAUAGUUUUGAGUUUAAUCUUAUUACAGUUUGGAAAAAUAAAUGUGAAGACAAUUUCGACAACUGUGAAACGUCACUGCAGUAGCAGCGCAUCAUCUACAGACUCGCAGCCAGCGUUUUCUGCCUGGAAACACUACAAGCUAAUCGGAACAGUGAAAACAUCGGAUUUCGUGCCUGGAGCUUGUGUGGGGCAUGGGGGGAGGUCAAAGUGCUGAUUCAUCUACAGAUCUUGGGCAGAAGAACCAAGGCUGUCUCUUAUCCCAAGGCAAUGAGCCAUCAACCAGCCAGAAUGUCGACAAAGAACAUGAGAGCCAAUCAUCGGAAGCAGGGACUGAUUUGCCCCAAUGUAAAAUGGGCAGCAAGACAGUAGAUGACAUGAGUUACAUAAUAUCAUGCACAAACUGGUACUAGGGUCCUUUUUACUGGGGCACCAUUGUAAAAGCCAGUCACUUUUUGAGCACCAAAUACAGCAUAGAGCUAUCCAAGCAGAUGGAAAGGUGGGUACAUGUUUUCAUAAGUUGCGUUAAUGAACAUGCAGUUUGUAACAAUACUAUUACUUGACUGUCUGCUUGAAUAGACUAUCUGCAUAAUACUCAUGAGCUUGAUCUGUAUUGCAUAUCUUUACAACUUAAAUAGUUUGCCAGAACAGAACAUGCUUCUCACAAUCACAAUUUCAUGAUAUAACACAUAUGUUGAGGAGUUAUCAUGUAAUAGUUUAAUAGGAUAACUGACAGUAUUUUAACAGCUACAAAUCACUACAAAAUAUAUACUGUAGUGGACACAGCACCUAGAGAAAAACACACUGCAUAGAAAGCAGGUCAUCUACCCUGCCUGUUAGAUGUGUCCUAUGCACUCUAAUUCUCAACUCACACUUGUACCCACCUGUUUGUAAAAUGUGCCAAAACAUUUCAAGAAUGUGUACUCAGAUAUAAUCACACUAAACAAGACAACCAAGUCUCACUGAAGCAAUCUUAAUAACCAAACAGAUUGACUUUUUCCUUUAUUGUUGUUUCUUUGUUAAUAGAACAUGGCGAUAUUAUUAGGUACACAGUGUAGAACUGCUGACUUAAAAUAAUAAUUUAAAAACAGUUUAAUCUGGAUGGAAUUAAAAAUGUAAACUUAUUCAAAUAAACCUGGAAUAUCUAUAUUUUAAAAUCAAGACAAUUAAAAAUCACUGUCAUUCUCAAGAAUGAUAGCAUUAUACAAGAUGUGUGAAAUUAUCAGCUACUCUUAACAACUGAAAGGAAAAUACAAAAGGUUCAAAGUUUCAGAUAAUCAUUAUAUUUACAUGAGUCAUGGGUGAGGCUGAGCAGACAGCAACAUCUGACCUGUAAUUUAGACAAUAUCAAAAAAAUGUAUGGACAGAGUCUAUGUUGGCUGACUUGGAUAACUAAGUGUUUCAUCCAUAAAUUCAUUUGAAGAAACCAAUGAGAAAACUAAAGUUAUAUACAGUAAUACAUUUAAAGUUUCAAAAAGAAGCAAACCAACAAUAACUUUAAAGCUAUAUCAGAUAAAAUCUCACUUGUAAUCAAUCCUUUGUAUGCAAAGAACAUAAAUAUUUUGUUCUUGUAAAAUUCUGGAUUACCUCUGAUAUGUUUUUUUUUCCCUCCCUCCUAUUGUUAGUCUCAUAAAAUUACUAUAGAAACCAAAGGCAACAACAGGUAGAGGUUAAGAGUGGCUGUCAUCCAAAGCAACCAUCACACCCAUAAAAAGAGGCAAAUCAGUUAAUUCCUACUUCCAUAUCUUCCUGUACAGAUCUGUUUACUUUCUGGUCAAUUUCAUGGCUUCACCUUGACUUCAGUUUAAACUGUGUAGAAUACCUUCUGUAAAUGACUAUUUCUAUAAAUACUGUAAAUAGUUUCUCAUGUUAAAUGCUACUGUUUUUAAAAUGUUCAUAAAAUGUACGAACCCUCAUCAUAACUCUAAAGACAAUUUCUAAUAAAUAUAUCUUAUAUAUUUCAAAUGUUUAAUUCCUUCAAGACCUCAAAUCUGCAACAUUUUAAAUGUGUCUUGAUGUAUACACAACACUAUCUUGCUCAGUUUUCUGUUGUCAGGGGAGGGGCGUUCACAGCAUUGUGACAGUCCUAAUUGUGUCAUUCAAGUAACUGACAUUUCUGUUUCUCCUUGUAAAAAUGUCUCUGUUCCUAAAGAGUAUCCUUUACUUUGCCACACAACAGUGAAACAGGUAAGUGGUAAGUGACCAAACAAACCUAAAAAACAUGUAUGUCAGUAUCUGUUAUCAAGAGAUUGGUUUAGAUGUGGUCAGCAAUAUUGUUUAGAGAGAAUAAUAAGAAAUUACAUAAUUAAUAGUAUUACUUCUAUUAUUAAGUAGAAUAUUGACAUUAUCUUCUUUUUCAUUCUCAUAAAUGACAUUUAGUCAGAUAUAACAAAACUCCCAAAAUAGACUACCAAUAUUUUCCCUUAUGUUUAUGCUUGUUCUUGACUUUAGAAUUACCUCAGUGAUGGAAAAUUUGACUGCAUUAAUCCCAAAGAUUCAGGCAAAAGAUGCACAAUGACAGAGUAUGCAAACUACCUUGAGAUAUCAUAAAAAGUAUAUUAAACAACAUUUUAAACAUGGAACACACUCUUCUGUGCUACAGCAACAAACUUCGCUCACGUUUUACCAUGACCAAUGUUUUUCUUUCUUUCUUGACACCCAGUGAGUUCAUCAGAUCAUUCAGAGAUGAGGAAGACUAUCAGUGAAGCACAGUGUGUUCCAUUCAAAGGAAGUCCCAGCCAGGACUUCCUGUACUCAAGAUGCAGAAUGCCCCCAUCACCAUGUGGCCAACUGCUGCUGGCAGGUUCUUGAAUUGAACUCUUGUCUGAGAGACAAUCCCAUGAAAUCUGUCUAAAGCUUGCACAGAUGAAAGCCUGUUGUUUUUCCAAGCCUUUCUCUACCCACAGCCAAGAUCUCAUAAUGUAGAUGUAAAGAUCGGGAAAUAAGUAAUAUAAUCCAUCAAGAAGACAAGGGAAAACAUUAUUUCUGCAAAUUACACAGAUCUCCAAGUACGGGAUGCACUGUUAACUAUAGUUGCUAAAACUGUCUCCUCUUUGAAAUCAUGGUAAACUUGAAUCAACUUAAAGAAGACAUGUCAAGCUGGCCAUAGCAAGUUUUAAGACAAGGCACAAUGUCUUAAAGAAGGCCCAGAAUUAUUUUUAAGGCAGACACACAAACAUAAAAAGAUAGGGUGAAAAGUGGUUCGGAAGACCAGUCAAGUGAAUACAGAAAACAAAAAUCUGCCUCCAUCAGGG